GAUGAACGCUGGCGGCGUGCCUAACACAUGCAAGUCGAGCGAACAGACGCAAAGUUUCUUCCUCACUCGUUAGCGGCGGACGGGUGAGUCACACGUGGAUACCCCCCUUCUAUUACUGGGAUAACUGCGGGACACCGGAGCUAAUACCGGAUAAUAUCUUUAACCGCAUGGUUCAGUAGUGAAUGACGGUUUUGCUGUCACUUAUAGACGGUUCCCCGCUGCAUUAGCUAGUUGGUCAGGUAACGGUCUACCAAGGCAACGAUGGGUAGCCGACGUGAGCGGGGGAUCGGCCACACGGGAACUGAGACACGGUCCAGACUCCUAAGAGAGGCAGCAGUAGGGAAUGUUCGGCAGUGGGCGGAAGCCUGACGGAGCAACGCCGCGUGUGUGGUGAAGGUCUUGGGAUCGUAAAACUCUGUUAUUAGGGAAGAACAAAUGUGGAAGGAAAUAUGGACGUCGUGACGGUACCUGAUGAGAAAGCCACGGCUAACUACGUG
rnacentral:rRNA from 1 species